CCGAACAGUUUUCGACCGUGCUCAAACGCCGUGUCAAGCAGGUGAAUGUUGUCAGGUUGUAUAAUAUUGGUUUAUUGGAAACUUAAUGUUGACUGAAUGAUAACUUACCUGCAGUGCCGUAAAUAAAUGAAACAUCAGUAAAACGAGCAGAGACACUGUUUUAAUUUGAAGCCACACGCGUCAGACUGGAGGACACUAACUGCCACCUCAGUGACUACAGGUAACUACAAAAAAAAAAGUCACUACAAAAAGUCGAAAACUGGCUUAUUGUUGAGACAUGAACUAUUAAGUUUAAAGCCAGGAAGAGGAUCAACGUUGGACGUUUCAGGCUCCAGAAACUGCCGAUCGCUGAGGACAUCGCUGGAUUUAUUGUCCUACAGAACAACUGCUGAUCGCUGAGGACAUCGCUGGAUUUAUUGUCCUAUUGAACAACUGCUGAUCACUGAGGACAGCGCUGGAUCGGAGCAAUUCGGAGCCGCGUUGUGUAGCGGUAUGUGAGGACGACGCUGCUCGGCCUGCUGUUUACUUCAGAUAAGCGCCCGCACGCAUCGUUUGGACGACGGUAAGCGCUGGUUUGGACACGGACAGUCGGCACAUACAGCGUAUGGACAACAGGUGUUACCGACCCGAUUCUGCCGGCCGCCGACACCGCAACCUGCCUAGGUUAAAGGAGAGAAGGCUUGGCCUGCAACACAGGUCUAAGAGAAACUACGACAAAAAAGUGGCGACGAGGAUGGGAUCAGUUUGUGGUCUCCUUUGAGGUCACUGACAGCUCCAGCGCACUCUUCCACCGCUUCAGAGAAGGAGAGAGAGAAAAGGACCGGUCAGAGAGAAGUGAGUAUGUUUCUCUCACAAUGUGGGGUGCUGGUUAGUGCGUGGAAGCUGGGGGUGUUUGGCUGCACUGUAACGGAUCAUGCGUGCAUAUUCCAGGAUGUGUUGAGUUUUAGAAUAGCGUUCGGUCUAAAUUGGGGGGUUUAUUGUGCAUAGAUAGAGUUGAGGUUAGAGUUAAAAGAAAAAGAGUUUAUAGAGUUAAAGAGAGAAAAAAGUAUAGAGAGAAGAGAGUUUAAAAGUAAAGAAAUGAUGCUGCAGCAAUAGAGAAGAGAAAUAGAAGUUGAAGAGAGAUAAAUGUUGAAGUUUAAGAGGUAAAUGUAGAAUAGCAGAACUAGUAACGAUGAAGCAAGCUAAAUAACCAUGCAAGAUUAAUGAAACAGGCCUGAAUCUUGUUAACGGUAAGACGUGUAAAUUAGACGCUUUAAGUGCAAAUUGGCUUUUGAGUAGUUGAAUUGGUGUUUAGAAACAAAAGAGGAUAGAGUAGAUUUUACCUUUGGGCCCAAAGGUCAAUUGGCAAAGUGAAAAUAUAGAGAGGAAGAGAUGAAAUGAAGAGAGAAUAAGGGAAAAAGGGGAAAAGAGGCCUGAAGGAAGAUAGAGUUUUGGAGGAAAAUAAAGGGCUCAAGGAGCCGAUGAAAAAGAGGAAUGAGGAAAAGGAGGGAAGCCGCAGAUUUGGACAAAGCCCUCUGGGAGGCAGGUAGCACUGGCCAUAAACCCUGUUAUGUGAAUAGCCUACAUGUAAUGGGUCAGUUCAUAGAACUGGAGAUGUAGAUGAUAAAAUGUAAAUGUUCCCACUCGAGUUCCCACUGAGACGUCCAGUGUCUGAAGAAACAAUCAUUGAAUCUCUACAUUCUCAAGGUAGCAGAACUUUAGAUGACAUGGAAAAGGAGUUAAAGGAGCGGCUUAAGCAUGCUUUUAGGAUAUGUGUGAAUGACUUGACGCUGGGAUUGGAUGCUGAGAGUGUUGUGGAUGAGGUUGAGUAGGCCUAUGUGUCUUAUUUUGUGAGUUUGAUUUGUUUGAUAGUGUGUUGAGUGUGGGUGCUUUAUUCUGUGAGUUUGGUCGGCACCUAUGUCUGCAUAUGGGUCUGGAGUGCACGCCAGCCCCUCCCUGAUGUGUGUCUGUCUCUGCUGCAGAGACUGUGUGUGUGUGUGUGUGUGAGAUCUCUGAUAUUGGUCCCUGUGGUGUUUGUUUGGGAAAAAUUUUGCCAAAACGAAACAAAUAAUGAGUGAAUAGAUAAAUAUGGGGGACAUUUGUGAUUGAGUAGACUUUAAAAUUGAGGAUUAAGUGUUGUUGGGGGUUUUUGUCUGUUUAAAUGUCUUGUCUGUCUGUCUGUGUGAGUGUGUGUGGUGCUAGCUGAGUCCGGAAGGCUGUAGUGUGUCUUUGUUUGAUAUAGAAUAGACUUCCUAUUGAAUAGGUAUAUAGAGAGGUUGUGAUUGAUUAUAGAUUUAAUGAUAUAUUAGGAGAGUUUUGCCUCCUCAGUGUUGAAUACCUAUGAUCCCUUCUGCAGGGGGGACGUUUAUGAAUUUGCUGAAUCCUUAUGAGCCUUAUAAGAGGACUAUUGUGAAUUGAUAAUAUAUCUGAGCCUUAUAGUGGAUGUGUGUACAUCUGAUGAAUAUAUUGGAGCUUUUGUUGAGUCUGAGGAGAAAUGGAAACCAGUGAGGAUAUUCUGUGAGCAUGAGCAUGCAUGAACACUUGAGAUGAUGAAUAGUGACAGAGGAAUCUCUUGAUAGAGUUUGUCAGAACUGGGGAAAUAGAUUCUGAUGUUACAUAGGGGAGUUUAGCAGAUUGAUUGGCUGAUUGAUUGGUGUGCAGUUUCUCUCUGGUUAUGGGUUUAUUUCUGUGUGUGUGUGACUGCAUUAGAUGAGAUUUGGAAUAAAGAACAUGAAGUCUUAUUUAGAAUGGAGGAGUAGAGGGAGUUUAACUGUUAGAGGACACAUUCUGAAUUCUGUAGUUCAGCUGCUGAGGGGGAGGACAUUAUUCUGGCAUCUAUGUGUGAUUUUUGACUUGGUGCUUUUGCAUGGGGUUAAUUUGAUUUAUAGAGCUGAGACUAGAUGUUCUCUCUGUGAUGUCCAGUGAAGACUGGAAGUGGUUGCUAAGUUUCAGAGGAGGAGCCAGGAGUGGUGUUCCUUUCUGAUGCUGAGAAGUUCUUUCUGUGUGUGUGAGGAGCAGUGAGGGAGCCCCCUCCUUUUUCUUCUCUCCUUGUGUGAGAGGAGAGAACAGUAGGAUGUUAUGCGACUAACAAUAGAUUAGCAUACUUAUUCCUUUGAUUCCUGAGACUGAUGAUGCAUUUUGUGUAGAAAUGAGUAUGGUUAAUGUAGGAUCCUUGAGAAGAAAUCUGUUUGAGCCUGUUAGUAGUUGUCUUUACAGAGACUCUUGAGGGAAGUUAUUUGUUGGGGAAGAUGAAAAUGACCUAAAUGUUGACAGAUGUGUGCAAAUUGCAAUGAGUUAUUUUUUGGGUGAUGUAUAAGAUUGGUGGUGAUUAUGAAACAUUAAACUGUUGUUUGUUUUCUCUGUGUUUUUCCUGUGAUGUGUGAGAAUUGUGGAGGAGACUGAGGAGAUGGAAUGCGUCUGAAUUCCGAUCUCCAAGAGGACAGAUGAGAGGACAGCUGAUGGUGCUCUACAUGAGCUGAGAUUGUGCGGAUGACAACAUGUGUGGCUCUGGUGUCCGACGUCAUCAAGGCUAGUGUGAUUUUAUCUACAAACUGUUUUUUGAUGUUGCUUUACUUAUGUACACACACAUAACCAUUUAUUGCUGAUAUUGCUGACACAUAUUUAGCUGGUUUUCGCAUAUAGGACCAUGGUGUUUCUUUUACAGCAGUGACACAGUUUUUUGAUUUGGGGUCAAUGAAGCACAUCAGUGUAUACAUAGAGGGGAUGGUUUGAUUAUUGGGGAGGAAGCUUGACAACAGACUGACCAUCUGAGGCAUUUAAUUGAUUAGUAGAUCAUUAUUGAUUUAGAGGAUUAUUAAACAUUUGUAGAGAGGUUGAUUUGGCUUAAAGGCUGUUGAGUGCAUGAUGUCAAAGAGGGACCGUAUAGUUAGGAGAGUGAUUACACCUGUUGAUGUAGUCCAAAAGAACAAUCCGCUUGUUGAAGGUAUUGCAGAGAUGUCGCGGAAGUGGAGCAAGCGGUGGCCUGAUUAUCGACCGACCUUGGCCAGUAGAGGGAACUUUCAGUCCUGAUGUGAUAGAAACAAUGCAGGUGUUGGUGUCCACCCAUAAGACAGGUCAGCAGAAAGGCUGCAAGUAGAGGUUCAGAGGAGAAUGCGAGGGCCUAUGUGUCGAGGGCUCAUCAGACGUGGAGAAAUGUCACAGGAAAUGACCCAGAAGUGAACCAGAUGGAGAAGUCGAUUCUGCGAAGUAAAAUACAGAGGGGGCUGCCCCUACUACCAGAAGUGGUUUCUCUGAGGAGCAUGACUAGAGCUGCCUACACAGAUCAUGUGGCUCAUCUGGUGGAGCUACACCGGAAGAAGGAGCGUGCCCAGAAACAGCAGGAUGAGGAGAUGCUUAGGAAACUACAUCAGAUGCAGCUGGUGGAAUCUAGGAGAGAGGUUUGUAGUGAGUAGUGGUUAUAGAAAUGAGUCUGAAUCCUGAGAGCAACAUACAUCUACAGCCAGUGAAACAGCCAGAGGAUUUUUAUUGUGUGAUAUACGAUUUGAGUAUAGAGUGCCUGAUUUUUCAGUAGAUUUUUCAGUAUUCCACUAAGUGUAGAGAAAUUACAUAGUUCUCAUAUUUGCAAUAAAUAUUGGAAGAUGUUUUGGAUACUCAGUCUGUUGCUAAGUUUUUGCUAAGUUUUUGUUAAGUUGGUUGUUAAGUUUGGUGUUGGGGUUUUUGUUCAGUGGGGCCAUAAGCAGGUAAAAGGGUAAAAUUAGUCCUACAUAAUUGAGUAUUGAACUGCAUUUGGGAGUUAUUUACCAUUCAUAAUGUCAAGGUGUUCGCUUAAAAAAAAAGAAAAAAGAAGAAAACAGAAGAAAUUAAUGGUAUGUUGAUAUCCUGCUCUGUUGAUAUCUGACAACACAGGGGUGUGAUUAGGUGAUGAGUGUCAUCCGAGUGAGCUGACUAAUUUACAUUUUCCAUAUCUGACUUCAUUGUAGUCUUCAUGUUUAUUUUUUGGGGUGUCACUUACAAUAGUGAUGUCCAAACUUUAAGGGGAGUAAAUUUGAUCAAAGGUGGGAUUGCACAAUGUCUGAUGAUAAUCUGAUGAUAAUCUGUUAAAGUGAAUUAUAAUAUAUGAUGAUGCAUGAUGUUGUUGGCUGCAAGAUACUGGUGGAUGAUUUGUUUCUUCCCAGAACACCAAGGGGAGAGAGUGGCUGUGGUGCAGAGAUCCCUACAGCCGAGUGGACUCAGAUGUUCACAUGUGGACAUUGAAAUGGACAAUGAGAAAGGAGGGAGAAUCCUGAAUGAGGACAUUGCAGUGAGAGCAUACUACGACACCAGAAGCUGCUGAAGAGCGACAGUUUGAUAUAUUGAUGUGUGUUUUCAUGUAUGCUUACAAUAUUGGAUGUUGUUUCAUCAUGUAUAAUCUGUUUUAUUACUAGAUGUUUACUCUUGCUUACCCUUCCCUACAUAGGGGGAUAUUUGAAUUAAUGAUAAUGCUAGUAUGUUUAGUUUGGGAGUUUCUAUAACUCUAUGAUUGAUGUGAAUUGUUUAUGAUAAGGGGUUUCAUUCAUUUGGAUGUUUUCUCCGAGAAGGUGAGUACAUUGGGAUCUCAGGUGUUUUCUUUUUUCGAUUGUUUAGGGACAGUGAUGUUAGGCAGGAGGAGGUCCAUUGAAGGGUGCAAUGGGUCGACCAGCCUGACUUUGGACAAUUUUUGAUUUUAUUUCUGUGAUUCCCAAAUGUAUUUGCUUCCACUUAUUUCACAGAAUCCUUUGAACCUCUUUUGUUAUUGGCUUGGAGUACCAUAUGUGGUCGCCUAGGGCAGAGAGACCGUGGGAGAAUUUUCCUGUCUUGAUUGUUCGAUGGAUAAUUUGGGAAAAAUAGCUGCCUGGCAGGUUUUUCGCUCUCACACUCCAUAGAUUUACUAUAUUGCUGAGCUUGUGCCAUGAUUAGCAUGGACAAGAAGAAAAAGUCAUAAACAUUCUGUGUGAGACUCUUAUGUAACUGAUAUUAUGAUAAUUAGCGAGACUAAUGUCUCGAAGUGGGGGAAAUAUGUAGUAUCUGAUCUGAGACAUGUAUUAGUUGAUAAGUUAGUAGAAUGGAAUCCGUUUUGUCUGUUCUAUUAGCUGACCAGCAACUUGUGGGAAAACAUAUGUUUCCUUUUUCCCUACGUAAACAGGUAGUCUCUGACAGGAGAUAUAGGUCUUUCUGGUUUGGUUCUGGGAAUGUUUAUGUUUAACAGGCUGAGGUAAUGUUUAUGCAGGGGUCCCCUGUCCAGAUAUUGAUGGAUGGCCCUAUAUAAUUGAGGGGUCUGGUUGACAGGGGGUAUCCUGUAUCCUGUUUUUACCAAGUUUUCUAACAGAGACUAGAUGUUGUGACCUCAUACGUCACCAACGGCCAAAUGACCAAAUGACCACCGGCCCUUUGCUCAAGUGGGAUUUUCACAUUGGCUCUGAAGUCUCCAUGGCGCCUGAACAGAUGCUGUCUUUAUUAUAUAAUAAA